GGUAGAAGCUGAAGGAGCCUGGCACCCAAACCCCGUGUUUCAGUGGGGUGUUUUUAUGUCCCUCAGAGGAACAUUUUGUGGAGCGGCACCGGGAGCAGCUGAUUCAACGCGCCUCCUCGGUUGACAGAAUCCUGGAUAUGCUUCAUAGGGACAAGCUGCGAUAUGAUGAACAGUUGAGAAAAACUGAACAGAAUGAACUGUGGAUGGAAGGACAUUCCGGUCACAUGGAAGCUCCUCAUGAUCAAAUUUCCACUGAAGAACUGACAUCAGCAUCAGCAGGAGUGAGACGCAGGAGUGAAGGUGCCACUUCAGGCUCCUGGGGAAAGGACAGAUGUGACUUGUGUCACAGAGAGAAGGUAGGGGAUUGUGUUUGUUCUCGGUGUGUUCUGUCCCCAUCAUUGUGGUGUCUGGGCACUAUCUCACACCGUCAGUGUGUCUGUGCUGUGUGGAUGCCCCCAGAUGGGACACUGUUUAACUCAGAGGAAAUCACACACCUGUGUUUAUUUUCUGGGAUCAAAGCUCAAGGGAUGAGGAAAUAG
rnacentral:lncRNA from 1 species